rnacentral:rRNA from 1 species
GAUGAACGCUGGCGGCGUGCCUAAUACAUGCAAGUCGAGCGAACAGACGAGGAGCUUGCUCCUCUGACGUUAGCGGCGGACGGGUGAGUAACACGUGGAUAACCUACCUAUAAGACUGGGAUAACUUCGGGAAACCGGAGCUAAUACCGGAUAAUAUAUUGAACCGCAUGGUUCAAUAGUGAAAGACGGUUUUGCUGUCACUUAUAGAUGGAUCCGCGCCGCAUUAGCUAGUUGGUAAGGUAACGGCUUACCAAGGCAACGAUGCGUAGCCGACCUGAGAGGGGUAUCGGCCACCCUGGACCUCAGACACGGUCCCGACUCCUACGGGAGGCAGCAGUAGGGCAUCUUCCGCAAUGGGCGAAGGCCUGACGGAGCAACGCCGCGUGAGUGAUGAAGGUCUUCGGAUCGUAAAACUCUGUUAUUGGUGAAGAACAAAUGUGUAAGUAACUAUGCACGUCUUGACGGUACCUAAUCAGAAAGCCACGGCUAACUACGUG